UACGAAGGGGGCUAGCGUUGCUCGGAAUCACUGGGCGUAAAGCGCACGUAGGCGGAUCUUUAAGUCAGGGGUGAAAUCCUGGAGCUCAACUCCAGAACUGCCUUUGAUACUGAAGAUCUUGAGUUCGGGAGAGGUGAGUGGAACUGCGAGUGUAGAGGUGAAAUUCGUAGAUAUUCGCAAGAACACCAGUGGCGAAGGCGGCUCACUGGCCCGAUACUGACGCUGAUGCACGAAAGCGUGGGGAGCAAACAGG
rnacentral:rRNA from 1 species